rnacentral:rRNA from 1 species
GAUGAACGCUGGCGGCGUGCCUAAUACAUGCAAGUCGAGCGAACAGACGAGGAGCUUGCUCCUUCGACGUUAGCGGCGGACGGGUGAGUAACACGUAGGUAACCUACCUAUAAGACUGGGAUAACUUCGGGAAACCGGAGCUAAUACCGGAUAAUAUUUCGAACCGCAUGGUUCGAUAGUGAAAGAUGGCUUUGCUAUCACUUAUAGAUGGACCUGCGCCGUAUUAGCUAGUUGGUAAGGUAACGGCUUACCAAGGCAACGAUACGUAGCCGACCUGAGAGGGUGAUCGGCCACACUGGAACUGAGACACGGUCCAGACUCCUACGGGAGGCAGCAGUAGGGAAUCUUCCGCAAUGGGCGAAAGCCUGACGGAGCCACGCCGCGUGAGUGAUGAAGGUCUUCGGAUCGUAAAACUCUGUUAUUAGGGAAGAACAAACGUGUAAGUAACUGUGCACGUCUUGACGGUACCUAAUCAGAAAGCCACGGCUAACUACGUG